GAGUUUGAUCCUGGCUCAGGAUAAACGCUGGCGGCAUGCCUAACACAUGCAAGUCGAACGGAGCGCCUUGGAAGGAGACUUCGGUCAACGGAAGAGGAGGCUUAGUGGCGGACGGGUGAGUAACGCGUGAGGAACCUGCCUCAGAGAGGGGGAUAACACACCGAAAGGUGUGCUAAUACCGCAUAACAUAUGAGAGGGGCAUCCCUUUCAUAUCAAAGAUUUAUUGCUCUGAGAUGGCCUCGCGUCCAAUUAGCUAGUUGGUGAGGUAACGGCCCACCAAGGCGACGAUUGGUAGCCGGACUGAGAGGUUGAACGGCCACAUUGGGACUGAGACACGGCCCAGACUCCUACGGGAGGCAGCAGUGGGGAAUAUUGCACAAUGGGGGGAACCCUGAUGCAGCAAUGCCGCGUGAAGGAUGAAGGUUUUCGGAUUGUAAACUUCUUUUGUACGGGACGAAGAAAGUGACGGUACCGUAAGAAUA
rnacentral:rRNA from 1 species